AGAGUUUGAUCCUGGCUCAGAUUGAACGCUGGCGGCAUGCUUUACACAUGCAAGUCGAACGGCAGCGGGGGCUUCGGCCUGCCGGCGAGUGGCGAACGGGUGAGUAAUGCAUCGGAACGUGCCCAUGUCGUGGGGGAUAACGUAUCGAAAGGUACGCUAAUACCGCAUAUGCCCUGAGGGGGAAAGCGGGGGAUUCUUCGGAACCUCGCGCGAUUGGAGCGGCCGAUGUCGGAUUAGCUAGUAGGUGAGGUAAAGGCUCACCUAGGCGACGAUCCGUAGCGGGUCUGAGAGGAUGGUCCGCCACACUGGGACUGAGACACGGCCCAGACUCCUACGGGAGGCAGCAGUGGGGAAUUUUGGACAAUGGGCGCAAGCCUGAUCCAGCCAUGCCGCGUGAGUGAAGAAGGCCUUCGGGUUGUAAAGCUCUUUCGGCCGGGAAGAAAUCGUGUUCUCUAACAUAGGACAUGGAUGACGGUACCGCUAAAGGAAGCACCGGCUAACUCCGUGCCAGCAGCCGCGGUAAUACGGGGGGUGCGAGCGUUGUUCGGAAUUAUUGGGCGUAAAGAGCGUGUAGGCGGCCGAAUAAGUCAGAUGUGAAAUCCCUGGGCUUAACCCAGGACGUGCAUUUGAAACUAUUCGGCUAGAGUAGGGGAGAGGAAAGUGGAAUUCCUGGUGUAGAGGUGAAAUUCGUAGAUAUCAGGAGGAACACCGGUGGCGAAGGCGACUUUCUGGCCCUAUACUGACGCUGAGACGCGAGAGCGUGGGUAGCAAACAGGAUUAGAUACCCUGGUAGUCCACGCUGUAAACGAUGUUCACUAGGUGUUGGGGGUAUUGACCCUCUCAGUGCCGCAGCUAACGCAUUAAGGGAACCGCAUGGGGAGGACGGUCGCAAGAUUAAAACUCAAAGGAAUUGACGG
rnacentral:rRNA from 1 species